GCACUGCUGAGGAGUCAGACAAUAGACGAAACGGCCGUCCAGUGC
rnacentral:hammerhead_ribozyme from 1 species